UACGGGGGAGCAAGCGUUGUUCGGAUUUACUGGGCGUAAAGGGCGCGUAGGCGGCCAGCGCAAGUCAGUUGUGAAAUCUCCGAGCUUAACUCGGAAAGGUCAACUGAUACUGCGCGGCUAGAGUGCAGAAGGGGCAACUGGAAUUCUCGGUGUAGCGGUGAAAUGCGUAGAUAUCGAGAGGAACACCUGCGGCGAAGGCGGGUUGCUGGGCUGACACUGACGCUGAGGAGCGAAAGCGUGGGGAGCGAACAGG
rnacentral:rRNA from 1 species